GGGCGUUUAGCUCAGCUGGUUCAGAGCAUCUGCCUUACAAGCAGAGGGUCGGCGGUUCAAAUCCGUCAACGCCCA
rnacentral:tRNA from 2 species